rnacentral:rRNA from 1 species
AUGGGGGAGGGCGCGGUGGUGGUGCUGGAGGCGCCCAAGCCCAGGUCGCCGCCGAGGUACCCGGACAUGUGCGGCCGCCGGCGCCUGCAGCUGGAGGUGCAGAUCCUUGACCGCGAGCUCACGUUCCUCAAGGACGAGCUACAUUUACUUGAAGGGGCUCAACCAGUCUCACGUUCUGGUUGCUUGAAAGAGGUAAAUGAGUUUGUUGGUACAAAACAAGACCCGCUAAUACCAAUUAACAAAAGGAAGCACCGGUCCUGCCGUCUUUACUGGUGGAUCAGAUCAAAACUGUGCAUAUGUGCUUCAUGGCUGUGCUGCUCCUGCCAAUGCCUACCAACUUGCAAAAGACCAAUGUGCUUGGACUGUUCAUGCUGCAAACCAAAUUGCUCAUGCUGCAGCCCAAACUGCUGCAGCUGCUUCAAGAUCCCUUCAUGCUGCAAACCAAGCUGCGGCUGCUUCGAGUGCUGCAGCUGCAGCAAGCCACAGUGCUGCAGCAGCGGCUGUAACCCUUGCGGCGAGUGCAAGCCCGAGUGCGGCUCAUGUUCGGGCGGCGGCGGCUGCUGCGGCGACUGCAAGCCAAGCUGCAGCUGCUGCGGCGAGCAGUGCUGCAGCUGCGCAGGCUGCUCCUGCCCUCGGUGCACGGGGGGCUGCUUCAAGCUCCCCAAAUGCUCGUGCGCGCGGUGCUUCAACUGCCAGUCGUCGUGCUGCAAGGGGCAGCCGUCGUGCUUCAGGUGCCAGUCGUCGUGCUGCGACAAGGGAGGCUGCUGCAGCGGCGGGUCGUGCCUGAGCUGCCCGAAGCCGUCGUGCCCCGAGUGCUCCUGCGGGUGCGUGUGGUCGUGCAAAAACUGUACAGACGGAUGCCGAUGCGCCCGGUGCUGUGCUGGCGGGUGCCUGUGUUAA